CCAAAGGCUCUUUUAAGAGCCACCCACAAAUUCAAAGAAAGAGCUG
rfam:Anolis carolinensis unplaced genomic scaffold chrTn0028, whole genome shotgun sequence.